CAAGCAGAAGCUGUAAGGAACUAGAAGUUGGAAGACAACAGGAAUAAUGACUAAGGAGAAAUCAUGAAGCAGAGGAGAGAAGAGGAAGCUGCUGGCUGAGGAAGUAGUAUUCUGCUGAAAUAUGUGAAAUAUUAGAAGACUAAGUGUUCAAGAGGUCAUCUCACUUGACCAAGGUCACAGAGAUUCAAGAACACAUACUCAGGUCCAUCUGGUCAGAGCUAAAAUAAAAGUUCCUAUCUGAGACAUCAUGGGACAACCAGGAGCAUGGCGCAAGGCAAGUCAAAUCCGUCUUUGGGGAAGCUCCAGAAGAGGAAAUUUGAUGUGAUGGCUGGAAACUGUGCAUGAAGACAGAAGAGAACGAAUGUGGAAGAUAUUAAGCAAUCAUUGUAAAUACAAUUUUUGCAGUUUGGGCUGCUGGCUGCAUGGCUGUUCAUUGGUUUGGAAUGGAUUGAAGUGUAAAUGGACACAAGGUGUAUUGUAAUGGUGUCACUUUUGGAUACUACUACCUAAAUCCAGCUGUGUCCUCUGCAAUCAGGGAUCCUUGGGCUCUCUACCUGUUGCCAGGAAACCACCCGAGCCUCCCUUUUCUCUGUCCAUCACUGAUCUAUUGAAAAACAAAAAUCCAGACAAAGACUAAGAGACCAACCUGUGCGUAGGGUUCCAUUACUGCUGGACGCAGAUGACAGACACUGUUUCCAUUCUUCAUGCAUGUGUAAUCUCUAGUUCAUGCAUAAUGUCUGCUUGUAUGACUUCAUUCCUGACCUCU